rnacentral:lncRNA from 1 species
GGGGGCCUUGCGCAAGGGUUGUGUUAUUUCAUCCUCCACAAUAACCUUGAAGGUAGACAUUAUUAUUAUCCCUCCCUUUGCAGAUCACAGAAGCUCAGAGAAGUGAAGUGACUUUCCCAGCUAUGAGAGAGAGCGCACCAGGAUUUGAAACCAGGUAAGACUGUGUUUUUUCUUAAAAACAAAAGGAAAACCAUUAACACACACACAGCAAAAAAUAAUUCAAACAGUACAAAGGAAGACAGGGUAAAGCCUCUCUUUGCAGCCACAUCUCCUUGCCCAAGGCAGGCACUGGGAGGGGUUUCUGGCGUGUCCUUUUAGGGAGAGGCAGACGUAUACAAGCAUGUAUGUUAGAAAACAAACACAAACACAUAGUAACAUGUGGUAUGUCCUGUUCCACACCUGUUUUUUCUUCACGUGUACCUUGAGGAUCAUUUGUGCUACUGCUCUCUUUUUCAUGGUUGAAUAGUGUUCUAGCAAUCACUGUGUGGAUGGAGACCGUGCUUUAUUUCAUUGGCGAAGAGUAUUUUGGUUGUUUCCAGCCUUUUGCUUAUUAUAGACAGUUCUGCAAUGAAUAUCCUCCAUCAUACACUUCAUAUUCAUGUGCGAGGGUUCCUCUAGGAUUAAUCCCAAACUGCAGGGCCGGGGAGCAUGUGGGGUUGCAAUUUUGAUGGAGAUUGCUAGAGGUUAUGAUCAUGCACCCUCACACCACACCCUCUGACCCUGCUAUAGGUCAGAAUAGCUGACCUAUAGAAUUUUUGCUAUAGAAUUUCAGGGUCUUGGCCAAUCCGACAGUUGAACAGUGGCCUCUGCUAGUGUUUGUUUGCUUUUUUUUUUUUUUUAAUAUCACAGCUUUAUUGAGAUAUAAUUCACAGACCAAACAAUUCACCCAUUUAAAAUGUACAAUUUAAUGGCUUUUAGUAUAUUCACAGAGUUGUGUAACUAUUACCACAAUGAAUUUUAGAACUUUUUUCUUUUUUCUUGUUUUAAAGUUUAUUUAUUCAUUUUUUUUUUUAAUUUUUUUUCAACGUUUAUUUAUUUUUGGGACAGAGAGAGACAGAGCAUGAACGGGGGAGGGGCAGAGAGAGAGGGAGACACAGAAUCGGAAACAGGCUCCAGGCUCUGAGCCAUCAGCCCAGAGCCCGACGCGGGGCUCGAACUCACGCACCGCAAGAUCGUGACCUGGCUGAAGUCGGACGCUUAACCGACUGCGCCACCCAGGCGCCCCUAUUUAUUCAUUUUUGAGAGAGAGAGAGAGAGAGAGAGAGAGGAUCCCAAGCAGGCUCUGCACUGGCAGUGCAGGGCCCGACGCAGGGCUCAAACUCAUGAAGUGUGAGAUCAUGAUCUAAACUGAAACCAAGAAUUGGACCCUUAACUGACUGAGCCACCCAGGUGCCCCUAGAACAUUUUUAUUACCCCAGAAAGAAACUGUGUGCCCAUUAGUCACUCCCCACUCUCCUCAAACGUUUCUCCCUUAGCCCCAGACAACAACAAAUCUUCCUGUUUCUAUAGAUUUGCCUAGUCUAGACCUUUUAUAUAAAUGGAAUCAUACAAUACAUGGUCUUUUAUGUCUGGCUUCUUUCACUUAGCAUCAUGUCUUCAAGAUUCCUCCAUGUUAUAACAUGUUAUCAGGACUUCAUUCCUUUUUCUUGCCAAAUAAUACUCCAUUGUCUGGAUACAGUACCACGUUUUUUGUUUUUUUUUUUUUUUUGGUCCAUUCAUCAACCGAUGGACAUACGGUUGUUCCCACUUUGUGGCUAUUAUGAAUAAUGCUGUUAUGAAUAUUCAUGUACACGUUUUCAUGUGAAUGUUUUCUCUUCUUUGGGUAUAUACCUAAGAGCAGACCUUCUGGAUCGUAUGGUAACUCUGUGUUUAACCUUUUGAGGAAAUGCCAGGCUGUCUUCCAAAACAGCGACACCAUUGCACAGUCUUAGCAGCAGUGUGUGAGGUUUCCAAUUUCUUCACAUCCUUGCCAAAAGCUUGCCGUUGUCUGUCUUUUUAAUUAUGGCCUUCCUAAUGGGUUUGAAGUGGUGGCCCAUUGUAGUUUUGAUUUGCAUGUCCUCAAUGAUUAAUGAUAUUGAGCAUCUUUUCAUGCAGUUAUUGGCCAUCUGUAGAUCUUCUUUGGAGAAAUAUCCGUUCAAAUCCUUUGCCCAUUUUUUAAUUGGGUUGUUUGCCUUUUUGUUGUUGAGUUAUAGAAGUUCUCUAUAUAUUCUAGAUGCAGAUCUCUUAUCAUCUAUAUGGUUUGCAAAUAUUUUUUCCCAUUCUGUGAAUUCUUUUUAUCUCCUCGAUGGUGUCUUUUGGACACAAAGGUUUGAAAUUUUGAUGAUGUCCAGUUUAUCCAUUUUUUCUUUUGUUGCUUCUGCCCUGGGUGUCAUAUCUAAGAAACCAAGGUCAUAAAAUUUAUACCUAUAUUUUCUUAUAAGAAUUUUUUCAGUUUUACCUUUCAUAUUUAGGUUUGCAAUCCAUUUUUAAUUUUUUUAAUUAAAAAAAUUUUUUUAAUGUUUAUUUAUUUUUGAGAUGGUGGGGGGGUGGGUGGGUAGGGGCAGAGAGAGAGGGAGACAAAGAAUCCGAAGCAGGCUCCAGGCUCUGAGCUUGCAAGAGCCCAACACAGGGCUCGAACCCAUGAACCAUGAGAUUAUCACCUGAGCUGAAGUCUGGCAUUUAACUAACUGAGCCACCCAGGCUCCCCUCGUGAUCCAUUUUGAAUUGAGUUUUUUAAUUCAAUCCAUUUGAAUUGAAUUUUUAGUGUAGGGUCUGAGGAAGGUGUCCAGUUUCCUUCUUUUGCAUGUGUCUAUCCAGUUUUUCCUGUAACAUUUGUUGAAAAGACUGUUUUAUCUCCAUUGUGUGGUGUUGGCAUAUGCUUGUCCAAACUCCUUUGACUGUAAAUGUGAGGGUUUAUUUCUGUCCCUCAAUUCAGUCCCAUUGAUGUAUACAUCUGUCCUUAUGCCAGUACCAUGGUGUCUUUUAAGAAAAAAAAAAAAGUUUUUUUUUAAGUAAUCUUUACCUCCACUGUGGGGCUUGAACUCACCAUCCUGAGAUCAAGAGUCCCAUGUUGUACUGAGUAAGCCAGCCAGGAGCCCCAUGGUGUCUUGAUUACUGGAACUUUUCCACAAGCUCUGAAAUUGAAAUGAAUGAGCCCUCAAGCUUUGUUUUUCUUUUUCAAGAUUGUUUUGGCUAUUCUGGGUCCCUUGACUUUCCAUAUGAAUUUUAGGACCAAUUUGUCAAUUUUUGCAAAGAAGAUAGCUGGGAUUUUGAUAGGGAUUACGUUGACUCUGUAGAUCAGUUUGGGGAAUAUUACCAUUUUAGCAAUGUUUAGUCUUCCAAUCCAUGAACAUGGGAUGUCUUUCCAUUUAUUUAGAUUUUCUUUAAUUUCUUUCAAUAAUUUUUGAAUUUUGCAUUUCUUUGGCUAUUCUUAUUCCUAAAUAUUCUUUUGAUAUUGUAAAUUGUUUUCUUAAUUUUCUUUUUGGACUGUUCAUUAGCGUAUAGAAAUAUAAUUUAUUUUUUAUAUAUUGAUCUUGUACUUUGCAACCUCGGUGAAUUUGUUUAUUAAUUCUGAUAAUUUUUUAGUGGAAUCCUUAGGAAUUUCUGUAUACAAGAUCAUAUCAUCUGCAAACAGGGUGAGCUUUACUUUUUCCUUUCCAAUCUGGAUGCCUUUUAUUUCAUCUUCUUCUCGACUGCCCUGGCUGGAACUUCCAGUGCAAUGUUAAAGAGAAGUUGUAAGAGUGGACAUCCUUAUCUCAUUCCUGAUCAGUACUCAACACCAUUAAGUAUGAUGUUGAAUAUGAAUUUUUCAUAGGUGCCCUUUAUCAGAUUCCCUUCCAGGGAAUUUGUUGAGGUUUUUGUCAUGAAAGGGUAUUGGAUUUUGUCAAAUGCCUUUUCUGCAUCUAUUGAGGUUAUGGUAUGGUUUUUGUCCUUUAUUCUAUUGGUAUGGUAUUAGUCGAUUUUCAGGAAGUUAAACCAGUCUCGUGUUCUUGGAGGAAAUCUCACUUGGUCAUGAUGUAUAAUUCUUUUUAUAUGUUGUCGAAUCCAGUUUGCUAGUAUUUUAUUAAAGAUUUUUGUAUCUUAUAUUCAUAAGAUAUAACAGUCUGUAGAUUUCUCCUUUUUUGGUUUUUUUUUUUUUUUUUUUUUUUUUUUUUUUUAUUUUUGGGACAGAGAGAGACAGAGCAUGAACGGGGGAGGGGCAGAGAGAGAGGGAGACACAGAAUCGGAAACAGGCUCCAGGCUCCGAGCCAUCAGCCCAGAGCCUGACGCGGGGCUCGAACUCACGGACCGCGAGAUCGUGACCUGGCUGAAGUCGGACGCUUAACCGACUGCGCCACCCAGGCGCCCCUCCUUUUUUGGUUUUUAAUGAUGUCUUUGUCUGGUUUUGGUAUUAGGGUAAUAUUGGCUUCAUAGAAUGAGUUGGGUGGUGUUCCUAGUGAAUCCUUGGUAUUAAUUCUUCUUUAAAUGUUUGAUAGAAUUCACCAGUGAAGCCAACUGGGUCUGGGUCUGUAUUUGUGAGAAGUUUUUAAAUUACUAAUUUAAUCUCCUUUUCCUAGUUUUAGCUUUAUUCCAAUUUUCUAUUUAUUAGUUUUAGUUUUUUUUAAGGAGUUUGUCAAUUUCAUCCAAGUUAUGUUAUUUGUUGGAAUAGCACUAUUCAUAGCUUCCCCUUAUAACCUUGCUUUAUUUCUAUAAGGUCUGUAGUAUUAUCCUCUCUUUCAUUCCUGUUUUUAGUCAUUUGAGUCUUCUCUCUGAUUUUCUUGUUCAGUCUAGCUAAAGGUUUGUCAAUUUUGUCAAUCUUUUCAAAGAACCAACUUUUGGUUUUGUUGAUUUUCUCUGUUGUUUUUAUUUUCUAUGCCAUUAAUUUCUGCCCUAAUCUUUAUUUCCUUUCUUUUACUUGCUUUAGGGUUUGCUUUUCUUUUCUGUUGUGUUAAGGUGGAAGGUUAGGUUAUUGGCUUGAGAUUUUCUGUCUUUUUUUUUUUUUUAAUUUGAGAGAGAGAGAGAGAGAAAGAACACAAGCAGGAGAGAGGGGCAAAGGGAGAGAGAGAGAGAGAGAGAGAGAGAGAGAGAGAGAGAGAGAGAGUCUUAAACAGGCUCCAUGCUGAUGUGGGGCUUGAUCCCAUGACCCUGGGAUCAUGACCUGAGCCAAAAUCAAGAAUUGGAUGCUCAACUCUCUGAGCCACCCAGACAUCCCUGUCCUCUUUUUAAUUUAUUUUUUUCUUCUUUUUUAAUAUAGGUAUUUAUACUUACAAAUCUCCCUUCAAGUUCUACUUUAUUGCAUCCCAUACAUUUUGAUAUGUGGUGUCAUCAUGUUUAUUCACCUCAAAGUAUUUUCUAUUGUUUUGAUGAUUUCUUUGACUCAUUGGUUACUGAGGAAGGUAUUAAUUUUUACAUAUUUGUAAUUUCUGUUACUGAUUUCUUAAUUCAUUCUAUUGUGAAUGGAAACGUAGUUUGUAUGAUUUCACUCCGCUUAAAUUUAUUGAGGCUUAGAAAAUGGUCUGUCCCAGAGAAUGUUCUGUGCACUUGAAAAGAAUGUAUAUUCUGCUGUGGUCAGGGAGCUUGUGUAGUUUGAAUUUGCAUUAAUAUAUAUUUUUUAAAAAGUUUGUUUAUUUUGAGAGAGAGAGAGAGAGAGAGAGAGAAAUUUAGAGUGUGAGCAGGGGAGGAGCAGAGAGAGAGGAAGACAGAGAAUCCCAGGCAGGCUCUGUGCUGACAGUGUGGGGCUCAAACCCACAAAGCAUGAGAUCAUGACCUGAGCUGAAAUCAAGAGUCAGAUGCUCAACUGACUGAGCCACACAGGCGUCCCUGAUUUACAUUUCUCUUAAAAAUGAGGCUGAACAUCUUGUCAUAUGUUGAAGAGCUGUUUGGCUUGCUGUAAACUAUCUGUGGUUAUUUUUCUUAUUUUGUGGGAGCUCAUUAUGUAUUAAGGGGUAAACCCUUGUCUAUCAUAUGAGUUACAAAUAUUUUUCUUAGUGUGUUAUUUGCCUUUUGAAUUUGUUUAUGAUAUUUAUUGAGCCAUGCAGACAUUGUAGGUUUUUAUGUAGAUAGAUUUAUCAUUUUUUUUAAUGUUUACUUGUUUUUGAGAGAGAGAGAGUGAGAGCGCACGUAAGCGGGGGACGGGCAGAGAGCGAGGGAGACACUGAAUCCGAAGCAGGCUCCAGGCUCUGAGCUGUCAGCACAGAACCCGACAUAGGGCUCGAACCCAUGAACUUGUGACGCCCUGACCUGAGGUGAAGUCAGAUGCUUAACCUACUGAGCCACCCAGGUGCCCUGAUAGAUUUAUGAUUUUAAAAAUGACUUUUAGGUUUGGGGUCUCUGGGUCGCUCAGUUUGUUGAGCAGCCGACUCUUGAUCUUGGCUCAGGUCAUGAUCUCAUGGUUUGUGAGUUAAAGCCCCGUAUCAGGCUUUGUGUCAGUGGUGCAGAGCCUGCUUGGAAUUCUCUCUCUCUCUCUCUCUCUCUCUCUCUUUCUCUUUCUUCCUCCCCCUCCCUCCCUCCCUCCCUCCUUCUGUCUCUCUCUGCCUGUCUCCGACUUGUGCUGUCUCUCUCUCUCUCAAAAUAAAUAAAUAAACUUAAAAAAAUGAUUUUUAGGUUUUGUGCCAUGUUAAGAAAUGUUUUUCUCGUUCUGAGAUUAGAAAAUUUAUUCUCUGCUUUCUGUUUGAGAGAUUCAUGGUUUUAUUUUGAGUGGUUUAAAUCUGAUUGAUCUGGGAUUUAUAGGCAUAUGGAGUAGGUUUGAAAUCUGACUUUAAUUUGCUUCCUGACGGCAGGUCAUUGAUCUCAGCUCUAUCUUAAAAAUAAUCUACCUUUUUUUAUACGGGCAUGAAAUGCCACCUUUGUUAUGUGUUAAAUCCCUGUAUGUUUGGGAACAAUUUUUGGACCCUCUAUUUUCUGUUCCAUUGAUUUGUUUGUUUUUGUGCUGAUAUCAUACAGUUUAAAAAAAAAUUUUUUUUUUAGUGUUUAUUUAUUUUUGAGAGAGACAGAGAGAGAGUGCAAGCUAGGGAGGGGCAGAGAGAGAGGGAGACACAGAAUCCGAAGCAGGCUCCAGGCUCUGAGCUGUCAGCACACAGCCCGAUGUGGGGCUCGAUCUCACAAACUGUGAGUUCAUGACCUGAGCCGAGAUCAAGAGUUGGGUGCCUACCAACUGAGCCACCCAGGCACCCUGAUUUUAUUUUCUGAUCGCCGUUGGUAUAUAGAUACAUUGUGGAUUUGGAGGUAUUAGCUUUUAAUUUCCUUCCACUGAAUUUGCUUUUUGUUUAGUGGUUUUGCAGCAGAUUCUCUUGGAUUUCCCAGAUCUACACGGGUAACAUCUGCAAAUGAUGAUACUUGUCUUCUCUUUUCUAAUUCCCCUUUAUUACUUCCAUUUCUUGUUCUUAGCUCAUUGGAUUGGCAAGGAUCUCAGAGCAAGGUUAACUCGUGGACACACUUGUCUUUUCUGGACUCUUUCCCCGUGAAGUGGCUUUUCUAGGCCUGGGCUCCUAAGGAACUACGCCAGACAAUCCCUCUAGGGCCGUGCACAGAGCUUGGCACGUAGUAGGAAUCUGGGAAGCCUUUGCCUCAUUGGAGGAGUGAUUACAAAAGAUAGCAAGGAUCUAAAAAAGGUUUUCCGCAGUAAUGAUGAUGAUAGCUGGUGUUUAUUGAGCACUUCCUAUCUGCGAGGCACUAUUAAGUAUUACCUCAUGUUUUCUCACAACGAGGCUAGCUGUGUGGGAACAGUUGUGCGGAUUCCCAUUUUUGAGAAGGGGUAGACUGAGGCCCCCUUGAGGCUGCAUGACUAGGACGCGGCAAGGCGGCAUCUGAACCUGGCGCUCUGGUUCCAGGCUUAUAUUUUUGUGAUGCUUCUGCUUCCCAGGAGCGUCCAGAGUUAUGGGCGAUGAUAUCAGAGGUUGGCCUCUGACCCCUGUGUUGCCUCUGUGUCAGGGAGGCGGAGGUGGUGGAGGGGUAGGUGCGCCUGGGGCGGUGAGGGCUGCCCGCACAGCACGCCGUAUGUCACUCUCCUGGACCUUGAGCACGCCAACCCCGGUGCCCUCACUUGCUGCACGGCCUCGGGCAAGGUUUAGCUUCUUUGAACCUUGGUUCUGCCUGUCAAGUGGGCACCGUUGGAGCCCCUACUUCAUUGUGCUGUCAGGACGACGGGGCAUCCGCUGCCUGUAAAGUUCCCAGCGCUGUGUGUGGCAUUCAAGGCCUGGCCACCUGACUGCCACCUCCUCUCGCGUUGUUCCUCUCAUCCCCGGUAAUGAUAACAACGACAGCGAACAACAUCGGGUGCUGUUUGUUGAGCAUUUAUUCUGCGCCUGGCACAUGGGCUCUCUCUUGAAUUCUCAGAUGUUAGGCUUAUUAUUAUCUCCAUUUUAAAGAAACUGAGGGGCGAUGUGACUUGCCCAAGAAGAUGUAGCUAGUAAGUAGUAGAGGCAGGAUUUGAACCCAGGCCCGACUGGAUUCCUCAUUCUUUUUUUUUUUUUUUAAUUUUUUUUUCAACGUUUUUUAUUAAUUUUUGGGACAGAGAGAGACAGAGCAUGAACGGGGGAGGGGCAGAGAGAGAGGGAGACAGAAUCGGAAACAGGCUCCAGGCUCUGAGCCAUCAGCCCAGAGCCUGACGCGGGGCUCGAACUCACGGACCGCGAGAUCGUGACCUGGCUGAAGUCGGACGCUUAACCGACUGCGCCACCCAGGCACCCCUGGAUUCCUCAUUCUCAACUCCUAAUCCCCUGGCCUCCUUUUGCCCUGACAGUAGCGGAGGUGACGCUCUUCAGAGUAGGGAAUGAAGGGGUGGGUAUGCCGUGACCGGACCACAGUUUAUUCCCCAGCCUCUUCUGGAUGUUGUAAACAUCUGUGUGCCUGGGGAGGGGCGAGGGGGGAGAGUGUGGUGCCCUCCAGCAGGGGGGCCAUGGGAGAGGGGAUUCGGCUUCAUCCAGAGGGGAGUGGUGGGAAACUCUUCAGUGUUGCUGUUUUUUUUAAGUCUCAUUAAAAGACAGUUUUUGACAAGGUAAUUUCUAAAUGUCAAGUGAUACAGCAGAUACGUACAGUAAAAAAGGGAUUUUCCCCUCCCCAUCCCACAUCUUUUGGACGAAACACUGUGAAGAAUUUGGAAUCCUUCCAGAACUUUCUCUACAGCUCUAUAGCACGUGCUCUCCUAGACACACUUACACACAUGCUAGUUUCCUUCACAGAAAUCAUUGCACAUACGUGUGCUAUGUGUGCGUGGUGAGCACAGGCUCAUUUACUCUUCCUGCUAACCCCACGACUUCGGUAGUGUUAUUGUCCUCAUUUUCCAAUUGUGGAAACUGAGGUCGCGAGAGGCCCAGAGGACGUUCUGCGCUGGCAGCUUCCUCUCUUCACAGCGCAUCUCCUCAGGCCACACUGAGCUCUCGUUCUGUUUGAUCAGCUGCACGGCUGUCCACUCCAGGAACAGACCAUCGUUUCUUUAUCCAGCCCCUCUCUCACGAGCACAUAGGUCAUUUCCGGUUUUCCACGGAGAGUGCUAAGCAGAGGAGGCCCCCGCUGUCUGUGCGGUUUACAGGGACGCCUCUGGCUACAGGGAGGAGGGUGCACGGAGGGCCAGACUCCUGCAUCCAGGCCCAGGCAGACGGGUGCCUGGCUGAGGGAAUGGAGAGAGGGUUGGGGGAGGCAUACAUUUGAGGAAGAUUUGGGGAGGUGGGAGAGCCAGAGCGGAGACGGUGACAGGUGACACGGGGCUGGGGCUACAGCCUUGAGGGGAGACGCCAAGUCAGCCCGGGGCCCUUGGGGCAUGAAGGGCUGGGGCGGAGAGGGGCAAGCAUUGCAGGCCUGCUUCCCGGCACCUCCCGUGCACAAGCCCUCAGUCUGGAGACUGUGGUCAGGAGGCUGAGGUUAGGAGUGGCUCCCCAGAGGAAAGGGGCCUCCUUCCUCUGGGAACCUCAGGCACCCCCCAGUACGGAGGCCUCGCCACUUCCCCUUGGCCCCACAAGGGUCUAUCUGUAUCUCAGAGUGUGCCAGUGGCGGAAGAGAUGUGGGGUUGGCUCCUCUCGAAUGGGCAACUCAUGGUGACUUGGCGUUUGGGCCCCAGAACCAAAAGGCCCUGAGACAGCAUCCUGCCUCAAGAAAGGAGCCCCGGGGGUCUGGGAGGGUGGUGUCUCCUGAGGUCACACAGCCCCCGGCAGCAGCCCUGCAGGGGACUAGACCCCACCCUAAAAGUGCCUGUCCUUCCUUGAGCACAUUCUGCUUUGUUGAAGCCAGAAACCUCUGGCUUUCUCUGGGAAGGGAGCUGCCUUAUCUGCUCGUGCCCCAUCCACCAAGGGCAUCUGACUAUUCCACGUGAGAGAGGUCCCGAGGGCAAGGAGGUAGGGCCACGAGUUCCCCCAGUAGACCCCAUGAGCAAGCCCCUGAUCCCUGCCUGUCCAGUGUGGUUCCCUGUCCCCUUUCUCCCUCGCCGUGUGACCUCAGAUAAGUUCCUCAAUCUCUCUGUGCCUCAGUUUCUUCCUCAGUAAAAUAGGGAAACUAUUAGUAUCUGCCUUCUAGAUUAUCAUGAGGAUUUCAUGAAUGAAUAUUUGCAAACUGCUUGGAGCAGGGCCUAAGGUCCAGGCCCUGGGAGUGUUUGAAUAUCCGGGAACGACACUUGGUCUCCACAACAUGACGUGACAGGAACAAAGCAGGAUGCAAACCAUGUCUAUGCUCAUUUAGUCUUUUGUCUGUUCUGCACAUAUUUCCAGAACAAUUAGUAGGUACCAGGUCUGUCCUGGCCACGGGGCAGGUGCAGAUGGAUAUGACCCAGUCCUGCCCGCAGGGAGCUUAGACAAGGGCACUAGAUGGAGCCCAAUUUUGUUUACAGUCAUACAUUCCCAUGAUGCCUGAAGGAAACACAGUGUCACGCCCAGGCGAUUGUGUUCUAGGGGCAAGGCUGGCAAAGUGCUGCUCUGUGCUGAGCAUGUGCUAUGUGCUUUCCUUGCUGACUUUCUCAAGAGCUCUGUCAUGUGGGCACUGUUCUACUUCCUGAGUGCCAGAGGAGGAGACUGAGGCCCCGGUCCCAUGCUGGGAUGGUAGGGCUGGGAUUCAAACACUCUAGUACUCUAGCUCUUAACCUCCACACGCCUGCCUGUCCACAAACACGUGUUACUUGUAUAAUCAGAUUUAACCACAAAGACCAACAAAACAAAUAGAACAGAAACUCCACAAACCAACAAACAUUGCAAGCAGAGGCCAGGCCACCGUAGCUGGUUUUGAAGGCCCUCUUGUACUUUUUCUCCUGCCCUGGGAGGAGUGGUCUUGGUCAGUAUAAGAGAUUGGGACCAGGAGCUGUCUUUUCUUCUCCUUGUACCCUCCCAAGAGGGCACGUGCAUUUUCUUGGUGCCAGGAGAGUGCUGGCCCUGGUCCAGGCCUGGCUCUCCCUCUUUCUCCACAGCACAUUGACCAAUUACUCUUUCUCCUGUCCUUGAUUACCUCCAGGGACAGGGGGCUCACCCUUCACCGUUUAGUUCAUUCUGAAGAAAGUUCAGGCUCCUAGAAAGUGCUCUAUUUAAAAAAAUAAUAAUAAUUAUAUUUAAAAAAUAUAUUUUUAUAAUUUUUAUUUCCCCUGAAAGUCCCACAAACAAACGUCCUCUGACACAGGCCUGGCCAGGUCAUCUCUGUGUCCCCCUGUAGACUAGCGUAGCCCCUGCUGCUCAGUCAGCGCUGUGAACGCUAUAUCAGGGAGCCAUUGGGUAGGGAGUGCAGUGGGCGGGGCCCGGCCUCCAGCAAGCCCGGGCUGUGGGUAACUGGGUCAGUGGGGCCCACGGGACACCAGCUCUAUGAGUGCUGAUGUGACCGAAGUGGACUGGGUUGCCAUAGAAAUUGGUCUUCUUUGUCCCCAGGCCUGUUGGCCUGUCCCUCAGGAGGCCCAGGUGAUCCCUUGGGCUAUUGAGCAGAUCUCCUCAGGGCCUCCCCAGCCUCCCAUUCUCUGAUCUGGAUGUCCCCCGGGAGCAGGCAGGCCACACCCACCUCGUGUGGCCAGUCAGCCCGAGGCCCAGGGGGUGCAGGAGCUGGCCGAGGUUCACACAGGGAGGAGAGCGUUCAGAGCUGGGCUUGCUCAGGGCCAGCCGUCUUGCCUAAGGCCUCGGCCAGUCAAGAGCGCUUUUCCCCAUCCGUGGGUUCCCAGAGGAAAUUCUGGACUGAUUGCAGGGACUGCCGCAUUCCCUGGAGAAUAUUCAGAACCCACCUUGUCGGUGUGUCCAGAAUUGCACGAUAUCGGUAAGAGCUGAUGUGGCAGGGUGACCUGCUAUGUCCCCGGCGGGAGCAUACUUGUCGCGUUUGGUUGCCACGGAGCUGGAUGACCCCAUUGUUUCCAGAUGAAGAAACAGGGCCCAGAGAGGUUAAGUCACUUGCCUGAGGUCACACGGCGGAUUAGGGGCAAAGGUGGGGUCUGAGUCUGGGGAGUCUGGCUCCAGAGCCCAUCCUUAACCACCGUGCCAAACCCUGCCCUGCUCAUGCUCAUAAGACGCUUUGGGAAGGCCAAAGGCUGUUUCAGGUCUGGGAAGCCCUUAACGUUGGAACUUUCAGUCAGAGCCUGAUAAAUCGUGACCCAAGAGCCAGAGCCGUGGUGAUUUCUCUUUCUAAUCGUGUCCUCACAACAGCCCUGAAAAGUCUGCUUUAUCCCUGUUUUGCAGAUGAAGACGCUGAGGCCCAAAGAGGGGAAGUGAGUUGCUUAGGGUCACAUAGCGGGGAGAAGUGGAGCAGAGCCUCUCGUCCGAGCCCCCUGACUCCACACCUGGUGUUCGUGCUGAGACCUCAGGCUGCUUCCCAGAUCCUCUGGGACAGCCCCUGCCUUCCUCCGGGUGAGGCGGUGACCCACCAGGGCUGCCAAGGUGAGGGAGGAGGGGGGCGUGGGCACGAUGGGUGGGAAGACCAGGCUCACUGGGAGCUGAGGCUGGCCAGG